UCAAUCAUCUGAAAAAUAAAAACCAAAAGAAAUGUAAUGGGUAGGUUCAACAAAAAGUGAAAAUAUUCUCAAUUUCUCAUCUCGUGUUCAUGUCUGCGUCGUUCCCAUCGCCGAAGCCCAUCCUCGCCGCGCAUCGGUCAUCGAUCUUCACCGCCGUUUCUGAGCCACCGCGACACCACCAACCCUCGCCGGUGUUGAAGGCGAACCCGAACCCAAACUACGACUGGCAACGGUGAGAGCGACUGGAGACGAUGGCCACAAAAUCGACGCUGGUCAUGACCUAAUCGAUGCACUCAUGCAUCAAAUCGCGAAGCUCCAUUCUUCUUCUCGAAGCUCCAUAAUCGCUGCCUCUGCGAUGAUGAAAUCGGAAGGAUUCAGUUUCAAAGAUUUUUGGUUUCUGGAAGAAGAGUGAUUGAUUCGUUUUGUGUCGACUUAAUUUUGAUUUUGUUCAUUUUCAGGUUAUCCUGUAUGGAGAUCUCUCUCGCGCCCUUGUGAUCCUCCUUCCUCUGCCCUUCAUCUAUGGCGGUGUCUGCUUCUACCUCCCUGGCUUAGUGCCGCAAGAUUUCCAGAAGGCCAUUACAGCGGCUUGAAGGUUACUUCACCCGUUCAAUGGGAAACAACGGUGAAGACUCUUCUCAACAAAGGGUUCAAGAAAGGCUAUACAAUACAAUGUUUAGGUACCUUAAAUUUUGGAUUCUCAGUGUUUCUUAUUUGAUAUGAUAUUUGUAGUUUAUUUAUGAUUCCAAACUCAUUUCUUAAAUCAUGAAUUUAGAUUUUAGCUUU